UACGGGGGGAGCAAGCGUUGUUCGGAUUUACUGGGCGUAAAGGGCGCGUAGGCGGCCACCGCACGUCGGUUGUGAAAUCUCUGGGCUUAACCCAGAAAGGUCAACCGAUACUGCGGGGCUAGAGUGCAGAAGGGGCAACUGGAAUUCUCGGUGUAGCGGUGAAAUGCGUAGAUAUCGAGAGGAACACCUGCGGCGAAGGCGGGUUGCUGGGCUGACACUGACGCUGAAGCGCGAAAGCUAGGGGAGCGAACGGG
rnacentral:rRNA from 1 species